GAGCUGUGCGGUGAGCACAAAGCGAACUAUUCUUUCGCCUUUUACUAAAGAAUACCGUGUGCGCACCGCCAAUAAUAGCAUACGCCUAUUUUUUAAGGGUAUUUCUAUAUUGAAGUGCC